rnacentral:rRNA from 1 species
UUAAUUGAAGAGUUUGAUCAUGGCUCAGAUUGAACGCUGGCGGCAGGCCUAACACAUGCAAGUCGAGCGGCAGCACAGAGGAACUUGUUCCUUGGGUGGCGAGCGGCGGACGGGUGAGUAAUGCCUGGGAAAUUGCCCGGUAGAGGGGGGAUAACCAUUGGAAACGAUGGCUAAUACCGCAUAACCUCGCAAGAGCAAAGCAGGGGACCUUCGGGCCUUGCGCUACCGGAUAUGCCCAGGUG